rnacentral:misc_RNA from 1 species
GAUGAAGAACGCAGCGAAAUGCGAUAAGUAGUGUGAAUUGCAGAAUUCGGUGAAUCAUCGAAUCUUUGAACGCACAUUGCGCCCCUUGGUAUUCCAUGGGGCAUGCCUGUUCGAGCGUCAUUUGUACCUUCAAGCUCUGCUUGGUGUUGGGUGUUUGUCUCGCCUCUGCGUGUAGACUCGCCUUAAAACAAUUGGCAGCCGGCGUAUUGAUUUCGGAGCGCAGUACAUCUCGCGCUUUGCACUCAUAACGACGACGUCCAAAAGUACAUUUUUACACUCUUGACCUCGGAUCAGGUAGGGAUACCCGCUGAACUUAAGCAUAUCAAUAAGCGGAGGA